AUUGAACGCUGGCGGCAGGCCUAACACAUGCAAGUCGAGCGGAUGACGGGAGCUUGCUCCUUGAUUCAGCGGCGGACGGGUGAGUAAUGCCUAGGAAUCUGCCUGAUAGUGGGGGACAACGUUUCGAAAGGAACGCUAAUACCGCAUACGUCCUACGGGAGAAAGCAGGGGACCUUCGGGCCUUGCGCUAUCAGAUGAGCCUAGGUCGGAUUAGCUAGUUGGUGGGGUAAUGGCUCACCAAGGCGACGAUCCGUAACUGGUCUGAGAGGAUGAUCAGUCACACUGGAACUGAGACACGGUCCAGACUCCUACGGGAGGCAGCAGUGGGGAAUAUUGGACAAUGGGCGAAAGCCUGAUCCAGCCAUGCCGCAUGUGUGAAGAAGGUCUUCGGAUUGUAAAGCACUUUAAGUUGGGAGGAAGGGCAGUAAGUUAAUACCUUGCUGUUUUGACGUUACCGACAGAAUAAGCACCGGCUAACUCUGUGCCAGCAGCCGCCGUAACAC
rnacentral:rRNA from 1 species